rnacentral:misc_RNA from 1 species
UUUUAUUUUAUUUUAUUUUUUUAUCUUUUUCUUCUUAUCUAUAUAAGUGCGUGCCAAGAGGUCCCUCUUCAACCUUGCCUUCGAGAGAGAAACAAAAGCAGAAAAGGAAAGCAAAAACUUGUAUAAUCAAGUUUAUAACUUGCCCUUUUUUUCUCUCUCUUCAUCAAGUGGGGAAUUGGGUAUGCCCUUGAGCUUUUCUCCGAAUCUAGUUUGCUGGUUUAGGUUUCUUGCUUUUGUUCUUUAGAUUAUUUCCGAGUGUCUGCAUUUCCCUCUUUUUUGAAAAGAGAAAGAUUAAGCUAAAAUCUUGGAGAUAUAUUAAUUAAAACCCAAGAAGAAAGAGUAAAUACUCGGGGAAGAUGGCAGCUCCAUUGUCAGCUUGGCCUUGGGAGAACUUGGGAAUCUUCAAGUAUCUGCUGUAUGGGCCUCUCCUUGCAAAAGUCAUAUAUUCGCAGAUUCAAGAGGAGGGCACCUUCAAGAUUGAUUGGUGUCUCCAUAUUCUCAUUAUUUGUGCUCUUAGAGAAAUGGUUCAUUCUUUUUGGGGCUCUUACGUUAACAUGCUUUUCCUCACAAGUAAUCGCCGGAUAAACCAACAAGGCUAUGAUUUCAAGCAGAUAGACAAUGAAUGGGAUUGGGAUAAUUUCAUACUUCUUCAAGCUUUAAUUACAUCCUUGGCAUGUUAUACCUUCCCACCAUUCAUUGAUAAUGUUCCUCUAUGGAACACAAAAGGAUUGAUUACUGUUUUGGUACUUCAUGUGGGAAUUUCAGAACCUCUAUAUUAUUGGGUUCAUAGAAACUUCCAUGGAAGUUUUCUUUUUACCCAUUACCAUUCAAUCCACCAUUCAUCUACUGUACUCCAUCCCUUUACAGGUGCAACUGCAACAUUUUUAGAGCAUCUUGUAUUAACAACAAUUACUGGAAUUCCAAUAAUUGGGUCCUACAUGAUGGGUUUUGGAUCAAGAAUCAUGAUUUAUUGUUAUAUUUUGGCAUUUGAUUUCCUUAGAUGCUUGGGACAUUCAAAUGUUGAAAUUGUUCCUAAUCGAUUGUUUCAGAUCUUCCCCUUUGUUAGAUAUCUCCUCUAUACACCAUCAUACCACAGUCUGCACCAUACAGAGAUGGACACCAACUUUUGCCUCUUUAUGCCUGUAUUUGAUGCGAUAUGGAAGACUCUUAACACCAAUUCUUGGGAACUCCACAACCAAAUGAGUUCAAAUAUUGCAGGGAAAAGAGAGAGAGUGCCUGAUUUCGUGUUCUUAGCCCAUGUGGUGGAUGUUACAUCUUCAAUGCAUGCACCAUUUGUUAACAGGGCGUUUGCGUCAUUGCCAUACGCGGCCAAUCUAGCCCAUAUGCUAUUUCUGCCAUUUUGGCCGGUGGCAUUUAUGGUGAUGUUAGCCAUGUGGGCUAGGGCUAAGACCUUCCUAAUAUCCUUCUACAAUCUAAGAGGCAGAUUGCAUGCAACAUGGGCUGUGCCUAGGUUCGGCUUCCAGUAUUUCCUGCCAUUUGCUCAAGAGGGCAUUAACAAGCACAUAGAAGAAGCCAUUCUUAGAGCUGAUAGAGAUGGGGUCAAGGUCAUUAGUCUUGCUGCUCUGAAUAAGAAUGAAGCUCUCAAUGGUGGUGGAACACUAUUUGUGAACAAGCAUCCAAAUCUUAGAGUGAGAGUGGUCCAUGGAAAUACGUUAACUGCUGCAGUAAUUCUGAAUGAAAUCCCUGAGGAUGUGAAAGAAGUGUUUCUAACAGGAGCUACUUCUAAACUUGGAAGAGCCAUUGCCCUCUAUCUUUGCCAAAGGAGAGUAAGAGUCCUUAUGUUGACUCUAUCAACAGAAAGAUUCCAUAAAAUUCAGAAGGAAGCUACCUUGGAUUGCCAAAGCUAUCUAGUCCAAGUCACUAAAUACCAGGCAGCUAGAAAUUGCAAGGUAUGGAUCAUUUUUCAACUUUCUAACCACAAACUGAUGACUGUGCACUAAUUAAUGAAAAAUUGUACUGUUUCCGAAAUUGGUUGAUUUGAUAUGAUGCCUAUUUGAUAGACUUGGAUUGUUGGCAAGUGGAUCACACCUAGACAGCAAUGGUGGGCUCCUAAAGGAACACAUUUCCAUCAAUUUGUUGUCCCACCAAUAUUGUCAUUUAGAAGAGACUGCACUUACGGGGAUCUUGCAGCCAUGAGACUGCCAGAGGAUGUUCAGGGGCUUGGCAAUUGCGAGGUAAGCAAUCAUCAUCAGAGUCUAUAUAUGGUUUUUUGUUGGUUAUAUGUUGCUGUUUAGAUUGAAAUGAAAAAUUCUCUCGGGGGAUCUUGUUCUUGCACAGUAUACUAUGGACAGAGGAGUGGUUCAUGCAUGCCACGCAGGUGGAGUGGUUCAUCUGCUUGAAGGUUGGAGUCACCAUGAAGUUGGUGCAAUAGAUGUGGACAGAAUUGAUCUGGUUUGGAAUGCUGCUUUGAAGCAUGGAUUAAAGCCUGUAUCAAGUGUUACGAAACAAAAAUUCAAUGUGAGAUGAUGAAUUUUUGUCGUAACCAAAAAUGCUCCUUUUUUUUUUUUUUUUAAUUUUUAAAUAUUUGGAUUACUGAGCUAUGAAAUGUAAAAGCAAUCCCUUUUAAGGCACACAUAUUUACCAAUCUUACAGCAUCAUUCUAUUGUUACUAAUGGUGGAAGCUGAAGCAAUCGUAUCAUAACACAAUCACGUUGAAGGACACUGCACAGCUUCAUUCCAUUCUCUUUCAGAUGUCCGGCGAAAUCUCGUUGCGACACAUUCAGAUGCCUCUAAAGAUGAUUCCCAAUGUAUGAAUCACGAUCAAGAUGUUUGAUUCUCUUCUCCAAAUUGCUGUUCAAACCGAGCAACAAUGUGCUUCCCGUAAGUAUAUUUCUUCAGAGCAUGCACAUGUGUUUUUAUGCGAUUAAGCAACAUUUCUCGCUGUGUAUCAGUACAUGUAUCAAGAAUCUUCUGGACAACAUAAUUUGCAAACUGGUCUUUCAUCAUUACCAAUAAAUUAUCAUUACCCUCAUUCUGCCCAAGAAUUUCCUCAAUUAUUAGCUCCCGUUCAGUGGCACCACCAUACUCCAAACAUUUCUCAACAACAUUAGAUGCAAAUUUAUGUUGGCUCAGUUGUACAACAUGCCCUGACAACUUGCUAAUAAUUUGGCAUCUUUCUUGAGAUUUUCCUCUCUCCAACACAUGCUGAGUCACAUAAUUGCCAUACUGAUCCUGAGCAAGUUCACAGACAGAAUCCAAAAUCUCAUCAACUAUAAACUGACAUUGCAGCUCAUCUGUACAGCGCUCUAGAACUCUCUGUAUGACACGGCAACCAUAAGGAUGCAUAGAAAGUGCUGCAACAUGACUACGAAAUGCAGAAAUUAUGAAGCCAAUUUUCUCUGUUGGAAUGCUCUCAAUACACUUCUGUAUCACAUGAUUGCCAUUUUGAUCACGUACACAACGCAUAACAUGUCCAUCCAGUUCAAGAACAAGUUGUGAUUUCUGAUCAAGCUCAAUUACUUCCAGCGCCUUCUGGAUUACACGACAACCAUACAUCUGCAGACUUAGAGGCAAAAUCUGACCAGUAAGCUGAUUAGCAAGUUCCUUUCUUUGUUCAGGGCUUCCAUACUCAAAAAACUUCUGGAUGACAUAAUUGCCAAAAACAUCAGUCAUUAAUUUGGGAGCAAAUGGAAGAACUUCCUUAAAUACAGAUGCCUUUUCUUCAGGACUACAAGUCUCUAACUUCUGCUGAAUAAAUCGACUCCCAUGUUGAUCAGCACUAAAUUCAACAAUAUUCCCAGCAAUAUCAGAUAGCUCAAAUCUGCGACCUUUGCCAGAUUUCAACUCCUCAAUAAAAUUAUAUAUUUUUGUGUCAUUAAAACUUUCUGAUCCUCUUUGACCUUGCCAUCCAGAAUAUGCAGCUGCAUAUCUACCAGUCCCUGGUGGGAACCUCAGCUCAUUUCUCACUCCAGAACUCCCCGUUCCCCCAACAGGGGAUGCUGGCAAAACUGGACUAGCAAGUGGGGAUGAUGGGUACUGCAUCAAUAUACCCAUGUUUGAUGGGCUCUCAAUAUAAUGACUAAUUAUCCCCCCUCUACCUUGGUACAGGUCAUUCACACCACUGAUCUGGUGAUGCAAUUUCUUCUCAUCUGAGCCAGUAGUAACUUCAGAUCCUUUCUUUGUGUCAGGAGCACUAUUUUGGCUCCCAAUAAACCCAAUUCCAGAAGCCAGAGGAUCAAAUUGACCAGAAAUAUUAUAUGCAGGUCCAUAAACCUGCUGAUAGUAUCGUGAAUGUGCAGGAUCAGUAAAAGGAGUUUGUGUUGGGUAUCCAAGCUGUCCAUAAAAUUUGUUCCAAUGUUGCAUAUCAGUUCCAUGAGCAAUGCUCCCUCCAGUUGAAGUCCCAGGCAUGCGGGCACCAAAGUUUGGACUAGCAGGCCCAUCGAACACCAUUGGAAUAGCACCAUGAGGAGGAUAUCCAGCAACAAAUGGAGGAACAGCAGCUGAACUCAAAGCAUAUCCUCCCACACCAUAUUGCGGAGAAUAUAAUCCAGGAGGCUGUAGAUUAGAGUAAAAUGGGUUUGGAGAAGUCAUGUAAGCUGCAGCAGAUGCAUAAAGAGGAGGCGUAAACCCAGAUGAUUGCAGUACUGGCUGCACCUCUGCCGAGAACUUUGAAGGGCCACGUAGAAACUGAUCCAUGCCAAUGUAUGAGGAAUUUAGUCCUUGAGAACUCAUUUGAGACUUGACACUUUGAACUUGAAAUGAGUUGUUCUGUUGUUGUUGUACUUGAUGUUGCAGUACAUUACCCUGGUAGCUGUGUUGCAUUUGCUGCUGAUAUUUUUGGUCUUUGGAAACUGGAAGGCUAGAUAUAUUAAGAUCUCUCAUUUCAGAUUCAAUGAUGAUAGAAUCUGCAAUUCUUAAAUUUCCUUUACGAAGUGUUUGUAAGGGUUUUGUGGUUCCUGUACAUUUAAGAGGGGAUAAGCUAGAAACAGGAGCAGUUGAGGGAUCAGCAUUCAAAGAUAAGCCAACCCUAUCUGCGCCUAGAGUUGAUGCCACAGCAUUUGAUGUACCAACAGGUGGAUUAUGCAAGGAACUGGAAGCCACAUCAUGAUCGGCUGCUUCAUCUGUUGUUCCAGAACUUAAGGAGUGAGACUGAUUAUGUACAGGUGAAGUGCAAGGGUAAUCUUCCUCAAUUAAAUCAACCAAGCUUCUGGAUUGGCCUACCAAUGAAGAGGUGUCCUCUCCAGACCAAAACCCAUUUGUCCGGUCCACCAAAUCAUCAAAGGGUUGAUGGGAUGAGUGAUCAUCUUCAUACUCUUCCUUGUGCGUAGAAAGGGUAACUUGUGAGAAAUGCAGGGAAUUGUCACCACUGUCAUCUAUUGAAGUCAGCCCCCAAUUAUUUCCAAAUCUACCAACAUCGCAUCUCAUAUGUCGAUUCUCCCUAGCAAUGGGAGGUGUAGGAAGUCUGGGGUUUGGGUUCACAUUGGAAUCAUAAAAAGCCAAAUAUGAUUGCUUCUCUGACUCAGAGUUUUGAAGAGCAUUACUUAAAUUCUCCAAGUUAGAGCUCUGCUGGCAAAUGAGGUUAUUUAUGGCUAGAAAUGAACCUUCCAUGCUGGGAGGCGCACUACCACUUCGAUUGGGGGCUGUGUCUCUCCCAUUGCCACGGAACUUUUGACCCUUCCUGAGCAAUCCUAGGUCCUCCAUAGCCAUGUUAGGAGUUGACGGUGCAAAAGUUGCAGCCUCACUGUGGGAGGGCAUUCUAAGCGGGCUCUCAGUUGCCAUAUUACUAAAAUAUUGUUAUGCCCUC